UAAUUUGUCUAGGGCAGAUCCUCAUAUAAUUAUGACAUACCCAUACUAGACUGCUCAGAAUCACAUAUAAAAACUACUAUGUGAACAACUAUCUUUUAAGAU
rfam:Populus trichocarpa isolate Nisqually-1 chromosome 10, whole genome shotgun sequence.